UACGUAGGGUGCAAGCGUUAAUCGGAAUUACUGGGCGUAAAGCGUGCGCAGGCGGCUUUGCAAGACAGAUGUGAAAUCCCCGGGCUCAACCUGGGAACUGCAUUUGUGACUGCAUCGCUGGAGUGCGGCAGAGGGGGAUGGAAUUCCGCGUGUAGCAGUGAAAUGCGUAGAGAUCGGGAGGAACAUCUGUGGCGAAGGCGGCCACCUGGACCAGCACUGACACUGAGGCACGAAAGCGUGGGGAGCAAACAGG
rnacentral:rRNA from 1 species